rnacentral:misc_RNA from 1 species
GGGACCACAACCAACCACAACAUCGCCGACCCCGUCCUCCCGGUGCCGCCACGCCCGCCCUGCGCGUCUACCGCCGUGUGUUUGGAGCAGUGCCUGCGUGCCCCCGUCGAGGCCCUCGCCCACCACACCCACAGCCACAAUGGCGUGCAGCAUGCUGGAGCCGAUCGGCGUGGGGAUAGGCCUCCCUCUUUCCCGCCGCCGGGCGUCCCUGGCGUCCUUGGCGUCGCGACCAACCCCUUCCGUCGCCGAAAGGGUCAAGGAGUCCGCGAACCCGCCAGGUCCAGGCUCUGGUCCAGGCCCAGUCCGAGCGCGGCGCAUCACCGUCAAACGCCUCUUCUCGAUGCGCAACUUCGGUGCCCGCGUGCCGCUGCUGCUGGGCAACCCCGAGGAGGGCCCCCCCGCCAGGGCCACCGGCGG